CAACAACAUUCUACCGCUAUCACGGAUCUAUAACAAAACCAUAUUGCGAAGAAAUUGUAACUUUCCUAGUAUUUCCACAGCCCUCUUAUAUAUCCGAGACACAGUAUAAGAAACUGAUAAACAUCAAAGAUUCCAAAAAUCAAACUGUGAAAUUUAAUCAUCGAAACGUGCAACCCCUAAACGGUAGAACUGUUUUCAAGCAAAAAUGCUAAAAGUUCCGUCUACAUUGGAAAUUUUAAUUUGCAAUUGCUGCACUUGCGUUAGGGUAAAUGGUAGCACUAUGGUAAAGGUCUUGUUUUCUCCACGUUAAAAUAAAGAGUUUGCAUUUACAAAAA